GACCUUUACAUCAUCUGCCCUAUAGAUCACAAGCUCUGAAAAGGGAACUUAUCUACAUAUAGGGCCCUAGUUAUUGGUAAUCAUAUAAGUUUAGCAUCUAAGUGCCCAGCUUUUUUUCAUUUAGAGUAACCCUAAUUCUACAUUGCAGUGGCCCAGCAUCUAGUAAUCCACAUAGCUUUUAGCGAUCUUAUUCAACACAAGAUUGCUUGCCGUUUGAUGCAUGUUUUAGGACAACUUCCUACAUGUGUGUAUAACCCUGUUUUUCUACUAGUAGUAGCCUAUCCUUGGAUAACAACAUUUGAACACUGUGAUAGAAACUUCUUUAAAUAAAUUACGAUCAAAAUAUAAAAGGAAAUGCCAUCACGAGUCAGUAUAUGCGUUAACAUGUUAUUUAGGGAUGGAAAUAUAAAAAAAAAACAAUGUGGAACAGGGAGAGAAUGUUGUUUUCACUUGUGAAUUAGUUCGUGGAUUUCCAGAAGAGGGCGCUGUUGUCUUUCGUGGGAUUCCUUAUGCCCCUCCUCCUGUUGACAGCAGACGAUGGAGUGCUCCUGCUGCAAGGAGCAGGGGGGACAAACUCGUGCUGGCACAACGUUUUUAAGGCCUCACUUUAUGGCCCCAUCUGUGUCCAGCCCCAGUUCGAUGACGUCGACAAAAUAGUUGGCAGCGAGGACUGUCUUUACCUUGACGUCUGGGCGCCAUCUCUGGCCCCUAAAGAGCUCCUUCCGGAGAUGGUCUGGAUUCGGGAGACCUCGUGUACGGCUUCGGCAACAUGCAUGGCAUGUUCAUUACCUCAGCCACGUCAGUCUCUACCAACGCCGUGUAGGUCAGCUUUAACUACCGCCUCGACGCCUUUCUUGCGCUAGACCAGCUGGUGGAAGGCGUGUACAAGUCAUCAGGAAACUUCAUGGUCCAGCAGUUGGCGUUGCUUAGGGUCCAAGACAACAUUGGCAGUUUGGGAGGAAACAAAUACUUGGUGACGAUAUUUGAAUAUGGCUCAGGAGCAUCGUCUGUGGAGGCGCUGUUGUUGUCUUCUGAAAGUAUUGUGUUUUUCCAUAGAGCCCAGGUUCACCAGUCAGGUGGCUUUACUUAACAAGACUUUAGCCGAGGCAUGCCACCACAACCUUCCUAGAGGAGUCUGAAUGCCGUGAUACCAGCUGUCUUCGUAAACUCAGCCCCACCCAGUUCUCCACUUGGUCUCUUGAGCCACAGUCGAUGACAUUUUGCAUAUUUCACGAAAUGGGAUGUGGAGAAAUGAUCUGGCUAUAUUUGAAGGUAGGUCUAAGGCCAGUUAACUUGUAAAAUAUCUGUAUUCGCUGGUCUUGUUUUAAAUGGGGCACUCGAAUGCACACAGAAGUUUACUUAAGUUGUAAAAUAUUAUUCGCUGGUCUUGUUGUAAAUUGGGCACUCAAAUGUACAUAAAGUUACUAUUUA
rnacentral:sRNA from 1 species